UAGUUAUUUCUGCUCCAUGAAUGUUAAAUAGCCGCAGUACUCUGACUGUGCAAAGGUAGCAUAAUCAGUUGGCUUAUAAUUGAAGUCUGGUAUGAAUGAAAAUAUGGGUGGUAGCUGUCUUAAGUAUAUUUUCUUAAACUUAUUAAACAAGUGAAAAUACUUGUGUUUAUAAAAAAGACGAGAAGACCCUAGAAACUUUAAAUGGUUUUUGUUGGGGCGACAUAAUUACAUAUAACUAAUUUUAUAAAACAUGACAUAGAUAGUAAGAAUAAGUUACUCUAGGGAUAACAGCAUAAUUUUAAUAGUUUGUGACCUCGAUGUUGGACUAGGUAUUUUAUUCUUUAGACAAGGAUAAAAAAUGCUCUGUUCGAGCAGUUGCACCUACAU
rnacentral:rRNA from 1 species